rnacentral:rRNA from 1 species
GUGGCGCACGGCUGAGGACACGUGGGUGCCUGCCCAGAGUGGGGGAUACCCGUCGAAAGCGGGAUAAUCCGAUACGGUCUACGGGGGAAAGCCCUACGGGCGCUCUGGGGGGGCCUGCGGCCAUCAGGUUGUUGGUGUGGUAACGGCGCACCAAGCCACUGCGGGUACCCGGUCUGAGAGGACGGCCGGGCAGACUGGGACUGCGACACGGCCCAGACUCCUACGGGAGGCAGCAGCAAGGAAUUUUUCCCAAUGGGCGCAAGCUGGGGGAGCAGCGCCGCGUGGAGGACGACGGCCUUCGGGUUGUAAACUCCUUUCGGGUGGGACGACCACGASGGUACCACCRGAAGCAGCCCCGGCUAACUCUGUGCCAGCAGCCGCGGUAAGACAGAGGGGGCAAGCGUUGUCCGGAGUUACUGGGCGUAAAGGGCSCGGAGGCGGUCUGCGGCGGUCGGCGCUGAAAGCGCCCCGCCUUAACGGGGCGAGGCGUGCCGAUACGCGCAGACUUGGGGGCGAGCAGAGGGUGGUGGAAUUCCGGGUGGAGCGGUGAAAUGCGUARAGAUCCGGAGGAACGUCAGUGGGRAAGCCUGGCCACCUGGGCUCGUCCUGACGSUGCGGCGCGACAGCGUGGGGAGCAAACCGGAUUAGAUACCCGGGUAGUCCACGCCGUAAACGAUGCCAGCUCGGCGUGUGCCACGGUCGUGCGCUGCGUGCCUUAGCUCACGCGAUAAGCUGGCCGCCUGGGGACUACGAGCGCAAGCUUAAAACUCAAAGGAAUUGACGGGGGCCCGCACAAGCAGCGGAGCGUGUGGUUUAAUUCGACGCAACACGAAGAACCUUACCUGGGCUUGACAUGACGCUGCACGCCGUCGAAAGACGGCCGCCUGCGAGGGCCCGUC